GGGCAGGUGGCGGAAUGGUAUACGCGCAAGGCUUAGGACCUUGUGGGGGCAACCCCUUGGGAGUUCAAGUCUCCCCCUGCCCA
rnacentral:tRNA from 1 species